rnacentral:rRNA from 1 species
AUUGAACGCUGGCGGCAGGCCUAACACAUGCCAGUCGAGCGGAGCGGCGGACGGGUGAGUAAUGCCUAGGAAUCUGCCUGGUAGCGGGGGAUAACGUCCGGAAACGGGCGCUAAUUACGCAUCUUAUCUAAUGAGCUUAGGUCGGAUUAGCUAGUUGGUGGGGUAAAGGCCUACAAAGGCGACGAUCCGUAACUGGUCUGAGAGGAUGAUCAGUCAAACUGGAACUGAGAAACGGUCCAGACGACUACGGGAGGCAGCAGUGGGGAAUAUUGGACAAUGGGCGAAAGCCUGAUCCAGCCAUGCCGCGUGUGUGAAGAAGGUCUUCGGAUUGUAAAGCACUUUAAGUUGGGAGGCGUUACCAACAGAAUAAGCACCGGCUAACUUCGUGCCAGCCGCCGCGGUAAUUC